rnacentral:rRNA from 1 species
CCGGUAAACGGCGGCCGUAACUAUAACGGUCCUAAGGUAGCGAAAUUCCUUGUCGGGUAAGUUCCGACCUGCACGAAUGGCGUAAUGAUGGCCAGGCUGUCUCCACCCGAGACUCAGUGAAAUUGAACUCGCUGUGAAGAUGCAGUGUACCCGCGGCAAGACGGAAAGACCCCGUGAACCUUUACUAUAGCUUGACACUGAACAUUGAGCCUUGAUGUGUAGGAUAGGUGGGAGGCUUUGAAGUGUGGACGCCAGUCUGCAUGGAGCCGACCUUGAAAUACCACCCUUUAAUGUUUGAUGUUCUAACGUUGACCCGUAAUCCGGGUUGCGGACAGUGUCUGGUGGGUAGUUUGACUGGGGCGGUCUCCUCCUAAAGAGUAACGGAGGAGCACGAAGGUUGGCUAAUCCUGGUCGGACAUCAGGAGGUUAGUGCAAUGGCAUAAGCCAGCUUGACUGCGAGCGUGACGGCGCGAGCAGGUGCGAAAGCAGGUCAUAGUGAUCCGGUGGUUCUGAAUGGAAGGGCCAUCGCUCAACGGAUAAAAGGUACUCCGGGGAUAACAGGCUGAUACCGCCCAAGAGUUCAUAUCGACGGCGGUGUUUGGCACCUCGAUGUCGGCUCAUCACAUCCUGGGGCUGAAGUAGGUCCCAAGGGUAUGGCUGUUCGCCAUUUAAAGUGGUACGCGAGCUGGGUUUAGAACGUCGUGAGACAGUUCGGUCCCUAUCUGCCGUGGGCGCUGGAGAACUGAGGGGGGCUGCUCCUAGUACGAGAGGACCGGAGUGGACGCAUCACUGGUGUUCGGGUUGUCAUGCCAAUGGCACUGCCCGGUAGCUAAAUGCGGAAGAGAUAAGUGCUGAAAGCAUCUAAGCACGAAACUUGCCCCGAGAUGAGUUCUCCCUG